UUCUCGCGAUUCUCUGACGCACGCUGUAAAUAUGUAUUUUUAAUGAUGUUGCGUCUUGUUUUUUCGUAUUGUUCAAAAGUGUUAUAUAAUUGCUCGUGGAGUACGGUGUUACUUUGCUAACAUACAAAUACCCAAUGUAUUUUGUUGUCAGCUGUCGAUUUACUCGUGUCACUUUAUACGUGUUGGCUAUUUCAUAUUUUAUUCUUUUUGAUAAAUAAACGAAGUUGUAUGAGGUAAAGUCGCGCGUUAUAAUAAAGUAACAACGUGUGAGAUGAGAGACUUGGGUUUAAAGGAUCUGGACAUGUGUGGCCCAUCAAGAUAAAGACAAACUAGAAGGACUUUUAUCAAAAUGGAGUCUGGAUUACGUUUGUAUUGUUGCUGAACCAGGGGCGUCUGCUGGACUAUAUUUUAGGGCGACCUUGGUUAUUGGAUUUUUUUUGAGAAAAAAAUGAAAAAAAAUUGUUAUUACCCCUUUAGCCCAAGCCCUGCGGACGCCCUUGUGAAAGAAAUUGAUAAAUUAUGAUCAUGUCAAUAGAUUGGAGUUUAGUGCUUCUGUAUCCUAAAUAAAUAUAAGUACCGGGUGGAAACAGGAAACUUACACACUUGUACUUUAUUGAUUUUGAGAGGUUCUGUGAGGGAAAUUAUAACUGUCUUUAAUUGUAUAGGUAGCCAUGUAUCUCAAGCUCCUUCUGCUUUAUGAUUUUUUUGAAAAUCCGACAAGAAAUAUAAUUUGCAGCGAGAUUCAUGGCUUAGGUCAUCAACUCAACCAUCAGAGGUGGCCAGGCUGAUGGAAAUGGCGUCUAAGACCAUCAACAAUGUUAAGAAGAGGCUAAACCACAACAAGACUAUAGAGAGGAAGGAGGGCUCCGGAAAGGGCCCAUCAUUAUUGCAAAUAACCCUCGAGGACGCCAUCAAGAGUGACUGUGUGGGUUACAUGCUUAGAGUACCUAUGUAAAUCGACGUUCUCAAGGCCAACCUGCAUCCCUAUGUUCAGGCAAAUUUCCCCUACGGCAACGUCGUCAUUCAGCAAUAAGGGGACCCGCUCACGCUGCAAAAAUCACUCAGAUCUUCAUACCUAGCAACAUCGCCACCAUACAGUCCGGAUGUCAAUCUCCUCGACUAUUCUUUCAGGCCACACAUCCAAAGGAUAGCCUGUUGCAUCUGUCACCCGAAACUUGAAGUCAUGAAGGCCUCCGACGACGAGGAGUGACUUCUAUGGACCCAAACUUCAUUGAACUGUUUGGAAGAAGCUUGCCGCCAUGCAUGAGGCCACUGGCGGCCCAAUAGAAUAAAUCAAUUUGACAUAUGUAUCAGAAAAUUAUUAAUAAAGAUUCUUUUUAAAUGUAGUAUAAAAGAAUUGCAAGCUAUUUUCUUUUUAAGUAUGUAAAUGUCAAGUUUCACCCCGGUAUAGGAUCUAAAAUUCUUGGGUAUUUUAACUAAUCCCACAAUAUCAAAUAAGAACCUUUUAAUUUACAAAAUCUGUCUAUGAAAUAUUGGACUGUAUGUAUAUCUAUGGUAAUAAAGCAAAGUUCAUCUGAAUUGUUGUAUG
rnacentral:lncRNA from 1 species